rnacentral:rRNA from 1 species
CAGUAGCCACGGUAAUACAGAGGGUGCGAGCGUUAAUCGGAUUUACUGGGCGUAAAGCGUGCGUAGGCGGCUUCUUAAGUCGGAUGUGAAAUCCCUGAGCUUAACUUAGGAAUUGCAUUCGAUACUGGGAAGCUAGAGUAUGGGAGAGGAUGGUAGAAUUCCAGGUGUAGCGGUGAAAUGCGUAGAGAUCUGGAGGAAUACCGAUGGCGAAGGCAGCCAUCUGGCCUAAUACUGACGCUGAGGUACGAAAGCAUGGGGAGCAAACAGGAUUAGAUACCCCUGUAGUCCCUGUCUCUUAUAA